AGAGUUUGAUCAUGGCUCAGAACGAACGCUGGUGGCGUGUUUUAUACAUGCAAGUCGAGCGAGGACAGUAGCUUGCUACUGAGCCGAGCGGCGAACGGGUGAGUAACGCGUAAGCAAUCUGCCCCACAAUCGGGAACAACCGUGCCAACGCGCGGCUAAUGCCGGAUAUUGUGUCCUACUGCAUAGUAGGUUAACGAAAGAUUUAUCGUUGUGGGAUGAGCUUGCGUCCGAUUAGCUAGUUGGCGGGGUAAUAGCCCACCAAGGCGACGAUCGGUAGCCGGCCUGAGAGGGUGAUCGGCCACAUUGGGACUGAGAUACGGCCCAGACUCCUACGGGAGGCAGCAGUAGGGAAUAUUGCGCAAUGGGGGGAACCCUGACGCAGCAACGCCACGUGUGGGAAGAAGCAUUUCGGUGUGUAAACCACUGUCGGAAAGGAAUAACGGAAGACUUCGGUCUUUAUGAAUGUACUUUUAGAGGAAGCACCGGCAAACUUCGUGCCAGCAGCCGCGGUAAUACGAGGGGUGCAAGCGUUGUUCGGAAUCACUGGGCGUAAAGGGAGCGUAGGCGGAAGUGCAAGCAAUCUGUAUAAUCCUGGGGCCCAACCCCAGUUCUGCAGAUUGGACUGUAUUUCUUGAAUAGUUCAGAGGCAAGCGGAAUUUCUGGUGUAGCGGUGGAAUGCGUAGAGAUCAGAAAGAACACCAAUGGCGAAGGCAGCUUGCUGGGGACUUAUUGACGCUGAGGCUCGAAAGUGUGGGUAGCAAACAGGAUUAGAUACCCUGGUAGUCCACACUGUAAACGAUGCAUACUGGGUGUCCGAAAUUCG
rnacentral:rRNA from 1 species